rnacentral:lncRNA from 1 species
GGCACGGCCCUGCCCCGUCCCCUUGGGGUCUGUCCCCAUGUCCCAACGUUACCCAAAAAGUCCCUGCGCCUCUGUGCCACGUCAGGGCUGUCACCGGGGCUCCGUGAACCUGGCCGGGGGACAGCAGGGACAGGAGCCGUGGCACAGCCCUGCCCGCACCCCGGUGCCGCCGGGCGCACUCACCAUCGGGGCCGGGCGGCAGCAGCGGCCCCAGCGCCUCCAGCUCUGCCCGUGCCACCCGCAGCUCCGCCUGGUCCCGUGCGCCUGGGGAGGGCAGGGGGGGGGUCAGGGCAGCCCCAGCCUCCUGCCUGCCCCCCACGGGGUGAGGGUCCCCAGCCCGGCCGCGCUUACGCAGGGUGGCGACGGCCGUCAGGGCGGCCCCCAGGGCCAGGAGGGCCGCCAAGCCCACGGCCAGCAGAGUGCCCUGCACCCGGCGGGACGGGGACGGCCGGGACCCGAAAUCCAGCACUGCGGAGAGACGGCAGAGGGGUCCUCAGCCGGCGCUGAUCCGGACCCCCCAGGACCCAGCACCCCCGGGCCCCCAGCCCCACGGAGAGGAGCCCCGGGGGUGGAGGGGGAGCCCCGCGGGCCCACCUUGCUCACCGUGCGGGUAGCGGAUCUGCAGGUUCUCGUACAGGUCCGGCCCCUCGGUGGCCAUCCCGCAGCUGGCCGAGCCCACAGCCGCUUCCUCCCGGAGCCCUGCGCGUGGCAGCCCCAGCGACCGAAACUGCCAGGAAAGGGAAGGCGGCAGCCGGGGGGGCACGGCGCUGCUUGGGGUGCCACCGCCCAGGCUGGACAGGGAUUCCCCCGUCCCAAAGGGACAGACCUCCACGCAGGGCUUGUGGCCACAUCCCGGCUUGCUGCCCAUGGCCGGCCACCCCACGGGGCCACCCUGCAUGGGGGAUCCCUGUCCCCCACCCCACGGCCAGCCCUGGCCAGUGGUGACCCACGGGUGGCUCCCGUGGGGACACAUCGGGCUCAUGGGGACGGCACGGGGGGACGGCCCCAGCAUGUCCCCAGGGGGAGCAGGGCCACGUCCCCGACGUGCCCAGGGGACACUGCCCAGCUCCAUCACCCCUCGCCCGGCCCGCGCUGCCUCCCGGCCACCCAGCGCCAACCCUGCCCCCAUACCAGCCUUGCCCCUGCCCCAGCCCUGGUUUUGUUCCCGAGCACAUCCCCACCGCAGCCGCGUUCCGCUUUUUGCCCUCAGACGCAGAAUCGCGUCCGGGAACCCCUGGCAAGCAGCGCAGAUGUUACGCCUCGCUUCUCGUUAGCAGCUCUCCCGUGCCCGGCGUGUGGCUCGAGCCCGGCUCCCCGCUGCCCGCAGAAGGGGAAGGCUCAAACGGAGGCGGCGACGCGGGAGAGGAGAGGAGAGGAGCGGAGCUGCUACCGCGGUACUGCUGCCGCACAGCACCCCAGGGACGGUGCUGGGCGCAGCGGGGACGGGGACAGAUGCCCAAGACAGGGUCUCAGGGUCCGUCCCUGGGGGCUGCUCUCCCACCCGGCCUCCCAAGGGACCUCCCUGAGGCUUCCCAACAGGGGAAGGCCGUGGGUGGAGCGGGUGCUGGGGCGGUUUCCUGGGCUCAGCACCCCCGGUGCCCCACACCCAGCACAGCCCUCGCCCGUGCGCCCCCCUGCGUGCCCCACGCCUCGCUCCGGAAGCCUCGGCUGAGUUGUUUUGCAGCUUCUGGGUGGUUUUUUGUUUUUGGUUUCUGUUUGUUUGGGAUUUUUUUUUUGUUUUUGUUUCAGCCCAAACCAUCGUGGUGUUUGACGCAGGCUCUGAAAAUAGCUCCAAAUCUGCAGAAGCAGCACUCCUCUGGCACAGGGAUGAGUUACCAAAAAGGCCGGGACGUGAUUCCCCCACCCACCUGCAGCUCCUUGGCAGGCUCAGCUCCAGUGGCCCUGCUGGGAUGAACUGGGAGCCCUUGCCCCCCCCGGGCCGCCCCCCCAGCUCGUGGGGGUGUUGUGAGGCACGUUGGGGCAAAGGAAGGGUUUGCUGGAGGCUGCCCUGCCCCACGAGGACAGCAUCAGGAAGCAGCCCGGGAGAAACCCCCGACCCCAGCAGUAAGGACACAGAUCCGAGACCACCGAGCCCCAGCACGAGGCAGGAGCGAGCAGGGGCUGUCACAGGGGACUGGAGACGCUGCAGGUUCAGGGCAGGGGGUGGUGGAGAUGUCCCGUCCCCGAGCACGGGGCUGAGGCCUCCCGGGAUGAGGGGUUCUGGUUUCAGCACUUCCAAGGAGCUGCUAAGGGCCAGAAGGGUUUGCUCCUCGUUGCAGCGGGUGCCUUGGACUCGGUGAUCCUUUUGGUCCCUUCCAGCUCGGGAUUUUCUAUGAUCUCGGUGCUCGGCGCUGGUGGGGUCUCGUGGGGAGCUGCUGUGUAGCAGCAGCCACGCGCAGGGAGAGGACGGGGUGGCUGAAAGCCCCAGCACGGGGAGCUUCGUGCCGAGACGCACAAGUGAGGCAGACGGAAAAAAACACCGAAAGAAGCAGCCCCGAAACCAAAGCCAUCGGCCCCGCACUGCAGCUGUGCGUGGAGCCCUCCUGGGCCGCGGUGCAGAGGGAGCCCGCGGGGGCAGCGGGGAGCGGGGCCAGGGCCUGCCGGGCUGCCUGCGAGCAGGGAGCGAGUGUGCUACCCGAAAUGGCAGCAGAAAGCCCGCUAAGUGCAUCUAA